rnacentral:rRNA from 1 species
AUAUCAAUAAGCGGAGGAAAAGAAACCAACAGGGAUUACCUCAGUAACGGCGAGUGAAGCGGUAACAGCUCAAAUUUGAAAUCUGGCCGCAAGGUCCGAGUUGUAAUUUGUAGGAGGAUGUUUCGAGCAUGGUCUGGCCUAAGUUCCUAGGAACAGGACGUCAUAGAGGGUGAGAAUCCCGUAUGCGGUCAGGUGCCUACGCUCAUGUGAAACUCCUUCGACGAGUCGAGUUGUUUGGGAAUGCAGCUCAAAAUGGGUGGUAAAUUUCAUCUAAAGCUAAAUAUUGGCCAGAGACCGAUAGCGCACAAGUAGAGUGAUCGAAAGAUGAAAAGCACUUUGGAAAGAGAGUUAAACAGUACGUGAAAUUGUUGAAAGGGAAGCGCUUGCAACCAGACUUGCGCGCGGCUGAUCAUCCGGGCUUCUGCCCGGUGCACUCGGUCGCGCUCAGGCCAGCAUCGGUU